CCUUCUUUCUUUCCAAUUCAUUUCCUUUGCCCAAAACACAAUUAAACAACAAGCCCAAUUAAAGCAGAGUCUCAUCUCAUUUCUCUUAUCAUACUUGCGGCCAAUUCCUUUUAAUUAAUUGCCUUGGCCCAAUUUAUUCUUGUACUAGAGUGGCCCAAAAGAAAUGACCCACUUACACUCUCCUUCUCCACCGUGACUUUUCCCUAAUUCACAUUCCCAAUUUCAAUCAUUUUCCUUUGGCUCUUAAUAUAAAAUUAGGAAGUGGCCCAAAUGAUUUCAAGUGAAGAACAUCUCUCUCCCCUUACUAAUUCCAUCGUAUCCUCCUCCCUCUUUCUUCUCAACUUUAAUUAAAAUCCCUAAAUCAGAUACUUAAUUUCUCCUCUUCUCUCUCGACAGCAGCGACGCUAUCCCAUCCCAGUCGCCGGCAACACAGAGAUCUCCUUUCCGCAUUCCUCUUUCUUCUUCUCAUGAUCUUCUCUGUUCAAUUUGUCUCUGAAAUUGGAGAACUAAAAUUCCUUUUCCAUCUUUCUUUUCUCUCAAAUCCCUCUUCCCCCAAUUCAGUGUAUCUCACUUCUCUCUUUCUAUCUCCGAUGCAACCACGCCAAAUCAGGAAUCUGAGUUCUAUUUCGAAACUCCCAAGCAGACAUCCGUCGCAAUGUCUAUAUCAGUCGCUGCUCGUUUCCUCGAUCCGACGCAGCAGCACCACCACCGCUGCUAUCACUACAGGUACUCCUGGCCGAGCAGCUGCUGCCCGGUGUCGUCUACGCUGCCGUCUAUCUCUCCCUCGCAGCAGCGAUGCUGCCGCUACUGAGCAAAGCCUACACGGCGCUGCCCCGUCUGUCGGGUUGCCGCGGCCUUGUGCGGCAGUCACUGCCUGUCGCCGCCUGUCGAAGCCCCGACGUCAUUCGAUCGUUGGACGGCCCUACGCACUACUAAGCUAAGUCCUCUACCCCUCUCCUUAUUUAUGCGCUUAGCGAGAAGUAUGAACAAGUGUGGAGGUGUUGUGCUAUCUUGGUGCUUUACUGCAGAAAGCUAAUUGUUUUGGUAUUUUACAAGUUGUUUGCUACUGUUGUGAGGUUCCUAUAGCCAUGUUUCUAAGUUCUUGGGCCUAGUAUGAUGUCUGAAAUAAUGCAGAGAGGAUGCUAGUGUAUUACCUCAUUCUCGGUGACUCCUUCGAACGCCGGACUGCCCUCUCGGUCUUCACCACUCCUUUCUCCCUUGCUGCACUUCUUGUGUAUUGUGAAUAUACAGAGGUGCGAGGAAGGAGAUGGUGGUGGGGCUGGUAUUUAUAGCCAAAACUCCUUGGCAUUUUGUGUCUAAUUUGGGUUAAAGAUUCUCUCUUCUUUUUGAUUUUGGGCUUAAAGUUUCACUACUAUAUUGGUGUAAGGCAUUGGAGAGCUCCAAUUUCUAUUUUGAGGCUGCAGUGUUGGCUUCCUUUUUGAGUUUUGUGAUGCUGUCGUUCAUUCCUUAUUGGUGAUCAUUUUGGGGAAGGAAGAUCCUUCUCUUGGCUGUUCCUUGAGCCUCGAUAAGGGCUCUAUCCCUCCAUCCCUUUUCGGCUUGUGGCUUGGUUUGCUUACUCUGGAGCAGUUUGGCUUUAUCCCCAAAUGGUGUUCACUAGCUGCCUCCUUGGAGCUUUAUGGAAGCAAGAAUCGAGAGGGAGGAGGAAGGAGAAAGGGAAAGGGUUCCCUUCUUGUAGCUACUUGGUUCCCAUACUAAUUUAGCCAACUCCUAGUCUUGCUUAAUAGAGUUGGUAGGAUGAAAAGUGUCAUGUAGGUUUGAGUGUUGUCUCUUUCACUUAUGUAAUUAUGUACUAAUAGCAUAUCCAUCAUCCAUGUCAUUGUAUUUCCAAAUUGUACUCUUAAUAAAAGCAUAUCUCUUACUUUUA